rnacentral:lncRNA from 1 species
CUCUUGUUUGCACUCAAGAUUGGAUGAGGCGUGCAUGUCAUAUCACCAAUGAAGAGGAUACUGAGGAGUUGGCCAAUCUGGAAGAAGGUACCUUGCAGUUUGUUAUUUGUUGAUUGUUGUUGUGCACAUUAACUCAUUAACUUCUUGUUCUUAUUGCUUUAAUUGAGUUUUUAUUUCAGCACUUUUUGCAGAAAUGGAUAGUUCGAAUAUUGCCAACAAUACUGAUACAGCUUCUAAGGACAAGGAAAUUGUGAUUGAGUGAUAUAGAAAUAAUCAAAUAAGGUAAUUGUGCUUGUGCUGUGUAAGUUAAUUUUGUCACUAUUAUUGUCAUACUGUGUAAGUUACACAAUGUAAAUUGUAAUUGUGCUUGUGCUGUCUUGCUGGCCAGGUGGUGGACUGGUCACUGGCAGGUGGCAGCGUGUGUGGAGUGGAGUUGCUGCCCAAGUGCCCAGUGCGCAGUGCCCAGGCAAGGCAUGGCGUGCGUGGUCACUGCCUCACUGGCAGGUGGCGCUCAGCCCAGUCAUGGCGUGAGUGGAGUUGACGCCAUGCUGAGUUGUUGUGUUGUCCAGUGUCCAGGCGCCCAGUCCAGUUUGUUGUUUGCUCCAGCCUCCAAGAAUCAAGUUGCCAAGUUGGCUUUUGUCAAUUGAAUUAUAUUGUAUGAACUUGUUAAAUUACUCCUAUUCUCUUGUCCAUAUGUUGUGGUACAAUGGUAGUGGUAUUGUAUUGUGUGAAUUUGUUUCUAAGUUAAUUUGUUAUGAACUUUGUAUGGAUCUAUGUGCAUUAUUGUAUGGUAUUAAUUUGUGUGAACUUGC